rnacentral:lncRNA from 1 species
GCUGGGGACCUUGAAAGCUCACAGAGAGGGCAGCCAGGCUCUGCAGUCACCACCUGGGAACAGAGGUCAAAAGACCUGCAGACCCACAACUUUGCCAGGUUCUCAGCGGCAGGAUGCUCUCCUGGACAGGAGCAGGAGGGCAGGGUGCCAUCCUGGAUGUCUAGCGGAGAAGAGGAUGCCAUUUUGGCUAUGGGGGCAGGUUGCUGUCCAGGGUGUGGAGGAGGGCCUGGCUGGCACACUGUUUCCUGUCCAGGCUCCCAAGCAUGAGGUGCAAGGGACUGGGGCACCGAGGGAACUGUGGUUGCUGAUCCCCUGGAGACACAGCUCAUCCUGGAUGAUCCAAGUGCUUGGAAGAGGGAAGCAGAGGAGUCAGGGAAGGUGCUGGCUUCGGACUCGAGGGGCCACCCUUGGAGGAGCGGGUGCCUUGGCGUGGGCAGGGAGUGAACACAGCCUUGCUCAUGGACUCCCUGGCACAUGUCCACAAGUGGAACAAAACCCCAAGGCCAUCGAUGAGCACUGUUGGAAGCCUCCUGGCCUGAGAUAGUUUCUUAUGUUGCCAAAGGGACCUUCAUGCCACCCCCGCUCCCCUCCAGGCUGUAACAAAGGAACGAGAGAAAGGUGUGCGUCUGUUCUCUUGGUUCUGGUCCCCAUCAGUCUCAGUGACAGGGGUCACUGGGUCACCAGGUGCUUUUUUCUGGAGACCUGUUUGUUUCAUGCCAGCUUUAUAGCAGCUAGCACGACAAUGCCAUGGCUGUGCUGAGAGCCAGCUGUCCUAGUGGUGGG